rnacentral:rRNA from 1 species
CCUACUGGAGGCAGCAGUGAGGAAUAUUGGUCAAUGGCCGUAAGGCUGAACCAGCCAAGUCGCGUGAAGGAAGAAGGAUCUCUGGGUUGUAAACUUCUUUUAUAGGGGAAUAAAGGUAUCCACGUGUGGAUUUUUGCAUGUACAAUAUGAAUAAGCAUCGGCUAACUCCGUGCCAGCAGACGCGGUAAUACGGCGGAUGCGAGCGUUAUCAUGUUUUAUUGGGUUUAAAGGGUGCGUAGGUUGUGUUUUAAGUCAGCGGUGAAAGUUUGUGGCUCAACCAUAAAAUUGCCGUUGAUACUGGAAGACUUGAGUGUGUUUGAGGUAGGCGGAAUGCGUGGUGUAGCGGUGAAAUGCAUAGAUAUCACGAAGAACCCCGAUUGCGAAGGCAGCUUACUAAGCCAUAACUGACACUGAAGCACGAAAGCGUGGGGAUCAAACAGGAUUAGAUACCCGUGUAGUC